rnacentral:rRNA from 1 species
AUUGCCCUAGUAACGGCGAGUGAAGCGGCAACAGCUCAAAUUUGAAAUCUGGCCCCAGGCCCGAGUUGUAAUUUGCAGAGGAUGCUUUUGGCGCGGUGCCUUCCGAGUUCCCUGGAACGGGACGCCAUAGAGGGUGAGAGCCCCGUACGGUUGGACACCAAGCCUUUGUAAAGCUCCUUCGACGAGUCGAGUAGUUUGGGAAUGCUGCUCAAAAUGGGAGGUAUAUUUCUUCUAAAGCUAAAUAUAGGCCAGAGACCGAUAGCGCACAAGUAGAGUGAUCGAAAGAUGAAAAGCACUUUGAAAAGAGGGUUAAACAGCACGUGAAAUUGUUAAAAGGGAAGCGCUUGUGACCAGACUUGCGUCCGGUGAAUCACCCAGCUCUCGCGGCUGGGGCACUUCGCCGGCACAGGCCAGCAUCAGCUUGCCGUCGGGGACAAAAGCUUCAGGAACGUAGCUCUCUUCGGGGAGUGUUAUAGCCUGUUGCAUAAUACCCUUCGGCGGGCUGAGGUACGCGCUCCGCAAGGAUGCUGGCGUAAUGGUCAUCAGCGACCCGUCUUGAAACACGGACCAAGGAGUCAACCUUAUGUGCGAGUGUUUGGGUGUUAAACCCCUACGCGUAAUGAAAGUGAACGCAGGUGAGAGCUUCGGCGCAUCAUCGACCGAUCCUGAUGUUCUCGGAUGGAUUUGAGUAAGAGCAUAUAGGGUUGGACCCGAAAGAAGGUGAACUAUGCGUGUGUAGGGUGAAGCCAGAGGAAACUCUGGUGGAGGCUCGCAGCGGUUCUGACGUGCAAAUCGAUCGUCAAACAUGCGCAUGGGGGCGAAAGACUAAUCGAACCUUCUAGUAGCUGGUUUCCGCCGAAGUUUCCCUCAGGAUAGCAGUGUUGAACUCAGUUUUAUGAGGUAAAGCGAA